rnacentral:tRNA from 1 species
CAGAGAGUAGUUUAGUUUAGAAUUCUGGCUUUGGGAGCCAGGGGUGGGAGUUAGAAUCUCCUUUCUCUGA